rnacentral:snoRNA from 1 species
CCCCUCUCAGGGUCACGCCUGGAGAGUUUCCAGCACUCUACCAGUCUCGACUAUGGGAGGGAGAGACAAGCAGAGGCAUACCCAAUCCAUUCCUUGUUUGAGUAGUGGCUAGUGAGUGGAAGGCAAUCUGCUAAUAAU